UUUUAUCAAUUAAUUUAGCAAAACUGUAAAUACUCUUUAAAUCAUUGGACUAACCACUAUAAAACUGCUAUUCCUUAGAGAAACGGAGACAACAAAGGUUCCAAACCUCUUUGAACUUCAUCAUAUUUUAUUACAUGAUUCAAAUAUGUAUUAAAACAGUAUUCUUAAAUUUUUUGAAUUUUUCUCAAAAUCUAUGUGUACCCCCCUACGAAAAUAGUGAGUUUUCGGUAAAUGCUCUAUAUAUGAAGCCUAUAAUCUUUUAAUUCGUUUUAAAAUUUAUAACCACAUUAUACAUUUGUAUUAAUUUAUGAUAAAUUUCUUUUCAUGGUAAAUGGACAUUGUUCUAGUUUUUUAUCAAUUAAUUUAGUAAAACUCUAAAUACUCCAUAAAUCAUUGGACUAACCACUAUAAAAUUGCUAUUCCCUAGAGAAAAGAAGACAACAAAGGUUCCAAACCUCUUUGAACUUCAUCAUAUGUUAUUCCAUGACUCAACUAUGCAUUAAAACAGUAUUGUCAAAUUUUUUGAAUUUUCUCGAAAUCUAUGUGUAACCCCCCCUACGAAAAUAUUGAGUUUUCAGUAAAUGCUCUAUAUAUGAAGCCUAUAAUCUUUUAAUUCGUUUUAAAAUUUAUAACCACAUUAUACAUUUGUAUUAAUUUAUGAUAAACUUCUUUUCAUGGUACAUGGACAUCGUUCUAAUUUUUUAUCAAUUAAUUUAGCAAAACUGCAAAUACUCCCUAAAUCAUUAGACUAACCACUAUAAAAUUGUUAUUCCUUAGAGAAACGGAGACAACAAAGGAUCCAAACCUCUUUGAACUUCAUCAUAUUUUAUUAAAUGAUUCAAAUAUGUAUUAAAACAGUAUUUUCAAUUUUUUUUGAAUUUUUCUCAAAAUCUAUGUGUACCCCCCUACGAAAAUAGUGAAUUUUCAGUAAAUGCUCUAUAUUUGAAGCCUAUAAUCUUUAAAUUUGUUUUAAAAUUUAUAACCACAUUAUACAUUUGUAUUAAUUUAUGAUAAAUUUCUUUUCAUGGUAAAUGGACAUUGUUCUAGUUUUUUAUCAAUUAAUUUAGUAAAACUCUAAAUACUCCCUAAAUCAUUGGACUAACCACUAUAAAAUUGUUAUUCCCUAGAGAAACGGAGACAACAA
rnacentral:lncRNA from 1 species